rnacentral:rRNA from 1 species
GACGAACCGUGCGAACGUUAUUCGGAAUCAUUGGGCUUAAAGGGCGCGUAGGCGGCGGUGUAAGUUGGAAGUGAAAUCCCAUCGGCUCAACCGUGGAAUUGCUCCCAGUACUGCACUGCUCGAGGGGGAUAGGGGUCUGCGGAACUACCGGUGGAGCGGUGAAAUGUGUUGAUAUCGGUGGGAACGCCAGUGGCGAAAGCGGCAGGACUUGACCCUUCCUGACGCUGCAGCGCGAAAGCUAGGGGAGCAAACGGG